UUGUCUGUUGGCAGGUGUUCUGCUCGAGCAUGACAUGCGACAAAGGCGCGAUAGCGCGUUUGAACGCCGCUUGCGGCGGCCCCGCAGGGGCGAGGCUCGAAGAGCCGAGUAAAGUAGGACACUGCCAGGCA
rnacentral:sRNA from 1 species